GAGGAAUAUUGCGCAAUGGGGGCAACCCUGACGCAGCCAUGCCGCGUGAAUGAAGAAGGCCUUCGGGUUGUAAAGUUCUUUCGGUAGCGAGGAAGGCACUUAGUUUAAUAAACUAGGUGAUUGACGUUAACUACAGAAGAAGCACCGGCUAACUCCGUGCCAGCAGCCGCGGUAAUACGGAGGGUGCGAGCGUUAAUCGGAAUAACUGGGCGUAAAGGGCACGCAGGCGGUGACUUAAGUGAGGUGUGAAAGCCCCGGGCUUAACCUGGGAAUUGCAUUUCAUACUGGGUCGCUAGAGUACUUUAGGGAGGGGUAGAAUUCCACGUGUAGCGGUGAAAUGCGUAGAGAUGUGGAGGAAUACCGAAGGCGAAGGCAGCCCCUUGGGAAUGUACUGACGCUCAUGUGCGAAAGCGUGGGGAGCAAACAGGAUUAGAUACCCUGGUAGUCCACGCUGUAAACGAUGUCGAUUUGGGGGUUGAGCUUUGAGUUUGGCGCCCGUAGCUAACGUGAUAAAUCGACCGCCUGGGGAGUACGGCCGCAAGGUUA
rnacentral:rRNA from 1 species